rnacentral:rRNA from 1 species
CGGAGGAAAAGAAACCAACAGGGAUUGCCUUAGUAGCGGCGAGUGAAGCGGCAAAAGCUCAAAUUUGAAAUCUGGCUCUUUCAGAGUCCGAGUUGUAAUUUGAAGAAGGUAUCUUUGGGUCUGGCUCUUGUCUAUGUUUCUUGGAACAGAACGUCACAGAGGGUGAGAAUCCCGUGCGAUGAGAUGAUCCAGGCCUAUGUAAAGUUCCUUCGAAGAGUCGAGUUGUUUGGGAAUGCAGCUCUAAGUGGGUGGUAAAUUCCAUCUAAAGCUAAAUAUUGGCGAGAGACCGAUAGCGAACAAGUACAGUGAUGGAAAGAUGAAAAGAACUUUGAAAAGAGAGUGAAAAAGUACGUGAAAUUGUUGAAAGGGAAGGGCUUGAGAUCAGACUUGGUAUUUUGUAUGUUACUUCUUCGGGGGUGGCCUCUACAGUUUAUCGGGCCAGCAUCAGUUUGGGCGGUAGGAGAAUUGCGUUGGAAUGUGGCACGGCUUCGGUUGUGUGUUAUAGCCUUCGUCGAUACUGCCAGCCUAGACUGAGGACUGCGG